GCGGAAGGAUCAUUACCGAAUUGUCAACAAGAGUUGUUGCUGGUCCCCAUACGGGGGCAUGUGCACGCUCUGUUUACACAUCCACUCACACCUGUGCACCCUCUGUAGUUCUAUGGCUUGGGUGGGCUCUGUCCUCCUGCUGUGGUUCUACGUCUUUACACACACACUACAACAAAGUCUCAUGGAAUGUAUGUCGCGUUUAACGCAAUGAAAUACAACUUUCAGCAACGGAUCUCUUGGCUCUCGCAUCGAUGAAGAACGCAGCGAAAUGCGAUAAGUAAUGUGAAUUGCAGAAUUCAGUGAAUCAUCGAAUCUUUGAACGCACCUUGCGCCCUUUGGCUAUUCCGAAGGGCAUGCCUGUUUGAGUAUCAUGAACACCUCAACUCUCGUGGCUUGCCAUGAAGAGCUUGGACUUUGGGGGUCUUGUUGGUCUGUGAGCCAGCUCCUCUUAAAUGAAUUAGCUUGCCGGUGUUUGGUGGCGUCACAAGUGUGAUAACUAUCUACGCUUUGUGUUUUUCCCACCAGG
rnacentral:rRNA from 1 species